AUUGAACGCUGGCGGUAUGCUUAACACAUGCAAGUCGAACGGCAGCACGGUAGAGCUUGCUCUAUGGGUGGCGAGUGGCGGACGGGCGAGUAAUGCAUCGGGACCUACCCAGACGUGGGGGAUAACGUAGGGAAACUUACGCUAAUACCGCCUACGUCCUAAGGGAGAAAGCGGGGGAUCGCAAGACCUCGCGCGGUUGGAUGGACCGAUGUGCGAUUGGCUAGUUGGUAAGGUAAUGGCUUACCAAGGCGACGAUAGCCAGCUGGUCUGAGAGGAUGAUCAGAGACACUGGGACUGAGACACGGCCCGGACUCCUACGGGAGGCAGCAGAGGGGAAUAUUGGACAAUGGGCGCAAGCCUGAUCCAGCAAUACCGCGUGUGUGAAGAAGGCCCUCGGGUUGUAAAGCACUUUUAUCAGGAACGAAAUCUGCAAGGUUAAUACCCGUGCAGUCUGACGGUACCUGAGGAAUAAGCACCGGCUAACUCCGUGCCAGCCGCCGCAGUAA
rnacentral:rRNA from 1 species